rnacentral:rRNA from 1 species
GACGAACGCUGGCGGCGUGCUUAACACAUGCAAGUCGAACGGGAUUUAGUAAACGGAAGCCUCGGUGGAAGAUUACUAAUGAGAGUGGCGAACGGGUGAGUAACGCGUGAGCAACCUGCCUAUGACAGUGGGAUAGCCUCGGGAAACCGGGAUUAAUACCGCAUAAAAUCGUAGAAACACAUGUUUCAACGGUCAAAGAUUUAUCGGUCAUAGAUGGGCUCGCGUCUGAUUAGCUAGUUGGUGAGAUAACAGCCCACCAAGGCGACGAUCAGUAGCCGGUCUGAGAGGAUGAACGGCCACAUUGGAACUGAGACACGGUCCAAACUCCUACGGGAGGCAGCAGUGGGGAAUAUUGCACAAUGGGGGAAACCCUGAUGCAGCGACGCCGCGUGAACGAAGAAGGUAUUCGUACCGUAAAGUUCUGUCCUAUGGGAAGAUAAUGACAGUACCAUAGAAGAAAGCUCCGGCUAAAUACGUG